GACGAACGCUGGCGGCGUGCUUAACACAUGCAAGUCGAACGGAAAGGCCCUGCUUUUGUGGGGUGCUCGAGUGGCGAACGGGUGAGUAACACGUGAGUAACCUGCCCUUGACUUUGGGAUAACUUCAGGAAACUGGGGCUAAUACCGGAUAGGAGCUCCUGCUGCAUGGUGGGGGUUGGAAAGUUUCGGCGGUUGGGGAUGGACUCGCGGCUUAUCAGCUUGUUGGUGGGGUAGUGGCUUACCAAGGCUUUGACGGGUAGCCGGCCUGAGAGGGUGACCGGCCACAUUGGGACUGAGAUACGGCCCAGACUCCUACGGGAGGCAGCAGUGGGGAAUAUUGCACAAUGGGCGGAAGCCUGAUGCAGCAACGCCGCGUGCGGGAUGACGGCCUUCGGGUUGUAAACCGCUUUCGCCUGUGACGAAGCGUGAGUGACGGUAAUGGGUAAAGAAGCACCGGCUAACUACGUGCCUGCAGCCGCGGUGAUACGUAGGGUGCGAGCGUUGUCCGGAUUUAUUGGGCGUAAAGGGCUCGUAGGUGGUUGAUCGCGUCGGAAGUGUAAUCUUGGGGCUUAACCCUGAGCGUGCUUUCGAUACGGAUUGACUUGAGGAAGGUAGGGGAGAAUGGAAUUCCUGGUGGAGCGGUGGAAUGCGCAGACAUCAGGAGGAACACCAGUGGCGAAGGCGGUUCUCUGGGCCUUUCCUGACGCUGAGGAGCGAAAGCGUGGGGAGCGAACAGGCUUAGAUACCCUGGUAGUCCACGCUGUAAACGGUGGGUACUAGGUGUGGGGUCCAUUCCACGGGUUCCGUGCCGUAGCUAGCGCUUUAAGUACCCCGCCUGGGGAGUACGGCCGCAAGGCUAAAACUCAAAGGAAUUGACGGGGCCCCGCACAAGCGGCGGAGCAUGCGGAUUAAUUCGAUGCAACGCGUAGAACCUUACCUGGGUUUGACAUGGAUCGGGAGUGCUCAGAGAUGGGUGUGCCUCUUUUGGGGUCGGUUCACAGGUGGUGCAUGGCUGUCGUCAGCUCGUGUCGUGAGAUGUUGGGUUAAGUCCCGCAACGAGCGCAACCCUUGUUCACUGUUGCCAGCACGUUAUGGUGGGGACUCAGUGGAGACCGCCGGGGUCAACUCGGAGGAAGGUGGGGAUGACGUCAAGUCAUCAUGCCCCUUAUGUCCAGGGCUUCACGCAUGCUACAAUGGCUGGUACAGAGAGUGGCGAGCCUGUGAGGGUGAGCGAAUCUCGGAAAGCCGGUCUCAGUUCGGAUUGGGGUCUGCAACUCGACCUCAUGAAGUCGGAGUCGCUAGUAAUCGCAGAUCAGCAACGCUGCGGUGAAUACGUUCCCGGG
rnacentral:rRNA from 1 species